GAGGAUCCAAGCGUUAUCCGGAUUUAUGGGUUUAAAGGUGCGUAGGCUGAUCCCCGAUAAGUCAGCGGUGAAAAGCAUAGGCUUAACCUAUGUCUUGCCGUUGAUACUGUCAGACUAGAAUAUAAAUGGAGUAGGCGGAAUGAAUCAUGUAGAGGUGACAUUCAUAGAUAUGAUUUAGAACACCGUUCGCGAAGGCGGCUUACUAAGAUAUAAUUGACGCUGAUGCACG
rnacentral:rRNA from 1 species